rnacentral:rRNA from 1 species
UCCGGAUUUAUUGGGUUUAAAGGGUCCGUAGGCGGAUUGUAAGUCAGUGGUGAAAUCUCACAGCUUAACUGUGAAACUGCCAUUGAUACUGCAAGUCUUGAGUGUUGUUGAAGUAGCUGGAAUAAGUAGUGUAGCGGUGAAAUGCAUAGAUAUUACUUAGAACACCAAUUGCGAAGGCAGGUUACUAAGCAACAACUGACGCUGAUGGACGAAAGCGUGGGGAGCGAACAGGAUUAGAUACCCUGGUAGUCCACGCCGUAAACGAUGCUAACUCGUUUUUGGGCUUUUGGGUUCAGAGACUAAGCGAAAGUGAUAAGUUAGCCACCUGGGGAGUACGAACGCAAGUUUGAAACUCAAAGGAAUUGACGGGGGCCCGCACAAGCGGUGGAUUAUGUGGUUUAAUUCGAUGAUACGCGAGGAACCUUACCAAGGCUUAAAUGGGAAAUGACAGGUUUAGAAAUAGACUUUUCUUCGGACAUUUUUCAAGGUGCUGCAUGGUUGUCGUCAGCUCGUGCCGUGAGGUGUUAGGUUAAGUCCUGCAACGAGCGCAACCCCUGUCACUAGUUGCCAUCAUUAAGUUGGGGACUCUAGUGAGACUGCCUACGCAAGUAGAGAGGAAGGUGGGGAUGACGUCAAAUCAUCACGGCCCUUACGCCUUGGGCCACACACGUAAUACAAUGGCCGGUACAGAGGGCAGCUACACAGCGAUGUGAUGCAAAUCUCGAAAGCCGGUCUCAGUUCGGAUUGGAGUCUGCAACUCGACUCUAUGAAGCUGGAAUCGCUAGUAAUCGCGCAUCAGCCAUGGCGCGGUGAAUACGUUCCCGGGCCUUGUACACACCGCCCGUCAAGCCAUGGAAGUCUGGGGUACCUCAAGU